UAAUUUUGGGAGCGAGAUCGCUAAAUCUCUCAAAAACUCGAAAAAAAUUCAAAAUCCCAAAAUCCCUCACUAUGGCCUUUCACGUAGCUUGCCCAAUUACAUGUCGGCGAAUUUGCUUUUGUUCGCUAGGGUUUCCUCGGAAUCUCCAGUCUACGAACUCCAAGAAAGGCUUCUUGCAGGAAGUGAUUCAACUCGAAGCCUUUUUCAAAGAUCCCUGGGGCGUUAGGGUUGCUCGAGAGGGGACAGUCCAGGUCCCCGUACCUAAAGUCGCUCCGAUUCCUGCCGGAGAUGGGGGCGGCGGCGGUGGCGCUGAUACCGUCGACGAGUCGGCCCAGGCCAAGCGCCUCGCGCUUCAGAGGAAGGCCGCUGCCGCAAUGGUUGCGGCUGAGGAUUAUGCUAGGAGGGUAGAGUCGGGUGAUAUUACGGUUGCAUCAAAAAGUUCUGCUGUAGAUGAGCAAGGACAGUACAACAGAAAUGUGAUGUGCCACAUAUGCUUCUUGGGUGAGAAUGAAGGAAGUGAGAGGGCAAGAAGGAUGCUCUCUUGCCGAAAUUGUGGCAAGAAGUACCACAGGAGCUGCUUGAAAUCUUGGGCUAAACACAGAGAUCUGUUUCAUUGGAGUUCCUGGACAUGCCCUUACUGUCGAACCUGUGAGGCGUGCCGAAGUAUUGGAGACCCUACUAAACUCAUGUUCUGCAAAAGGUGUGAUGGUGCAUAUCAUUGCUACUGCCAACAUCCUUCACAUAAGAAUAUUUCUUCUGGGCCAUAUCUGUGCCCAAAACAUACAAGGUGUCACAGCUGUGGAUCCAAUGUCCCUGGAAAUGGUUUAAGUGUGCGGUGGUUUUUGGGAUACACCUGUUGUGAUGCUUGUGGAAGGUUGUUUGUGAAGGGAAAUUAUUGCCCUGUAUGUUUGAAGGUUUACAGGGACUCCGAAUCAACUCCAAUGGUCUGCUGUGAUGUUUGCCAGCGUUGGGUGCACUGCCACUGUGAUGGCAUCAGUGAUGAAAAAUAUCUGCAGUUUCAAGUAGAUGGAAAUCUCCAAUAUAAAUGUGCAACUUGUCGUGGAGAGUGCUACCAGGUUACAGAUCUUGAGGAUGCUGUUCGAGAGCUUUGGGAGAGAAGAGACAUAGCUGAUCGAGAUUUGAUAGCUAGCCUGAGGGCUGCUGCUGGGCUGCCAACUCAAGAAGAAAUAUUUUCCAUCUCUCCAUAUUCAGAUGAUGAGGAAAAUGGUCCUAUGAUGCUAAAAAAUGAAUUUGGACGUUCCCUGAAGUUCUCACUGAAAGGUCUUGCUGACAAAUCACCAAAAAAGAACAAGGAAUAUGGAAAAAAGUCUUCAAGCAAAAAACAUCCCAAGAAAAAGGCACACCAAGCACCCUUGUUUAGCAAAAGAGAAUCACAGCUGAGUUUAGAGGGGAAUCAGGAUAUACAACCUCAAGGAUACAGCUUAGUUCAUGACAGGAACAAUGAAGAACAAGAUAUUUUUUCUCCUGUUGCUGGAAUUUGUUCUACCAAUCAGCCAGGGGUUUUGAAACACAAGUUGGUAGAUGAGGUGAUGGUUGGUGAUGAAGAUAGAACAUCUCGGGUUAUUAAAAUCAAAAGCAAUAAAUCACACGAUUUAGACUGUGGAGAUGACAACAGAAAACAUAGUAGCAAGUCAAAGACUGUGAAAGCUAGGAAAUUAGUCAUUAAUCUUGGUGCACAGAAAAUAAAUGUUACCAGCUCCCCAAUGUCUGAUGCUUCAAGCUUUCAAAGAGAUCAAUAUGUUACUUCUUACAAUGGUGUUCAAGAUGCAAAUAAACAUAGAAUUGGUGACAAGUUUCUGGAGAGGCAUGAAAGUACUGCUAAAUCUGGUGAUGUAGAUGGAGUUGAUCGCUCCACCAAGUCAAGAGGUGUGAAAAUUAUGGGAAGAGAAGGGAACUUGAUAAAGUUUGGCAAAAUUAGGUCAGAAAUCCCUGAAUCGAGGUCUAAAGUUGGUGCAGCAAACAGUUCUGAUGGACAUGGGAUUGUUCCUCUAGAACACACACGUAUUGCCUUAGGAAAAGGAAACAUAGAUGGAAAUAGGCUCUCUGCUGCACCUUCUGGUGAUGUCUCCACGCUAAGAGGGGGUAAGGUGGUGUCAGGAAAGCAGUUGGAAGACAGAGAUGAUAUGUAUGGUGAAAGCAGUGAAGAUUAUGGCCACACGCGUAUCUUGAAUUCUUUGCCAAAAGAUCCCAAACCAUCUCUUAAGUUUAAAUUGAAGAAACCUGUUCUUGACAAUCAGAAUUCUCAGGUUCAAUAUGAUGAAGAAAAGAGUUCUAUAAAGGGCCAAAGGUCGAAAAGAAAGAGACCAUUACCCUUCAUGGAGAAAUCAUUUUUUAAUGAAGAUGAAGAUGUUAAUUUCACACAAUCUAAUCAAGACAGUUUAAUGGAUGGCAUGAUGGACGCUAGUUGGAUUUUAAAGAAGUUGGGUAAAGAUGCAGUUGGAAAGAAAGUUGAAAUUCAUCAGGCCUCUGACAAUUCAUGCUAAGAUUUGGCUUUCUCUUUACUACUGAAAAAACCACAAUUCAAGAUGUAAAUUGUUGUCCUAUGGCUUUCUAGAUCUUUUGCACAUGCACAAAGGAGCUGUAACGGGCAGCAUUGAGGGCACGUCCGCAUUAUCUGUCAGGUUAGAUGAUGGUAGAAUGAAGACGUUGGAACUUGGGAAGCAAGGCGUUCGUUUUGUUCUUCAAAAACAAAAGAGAUCAAAAAUUUGAAGCCGGAACCCUAUUUUAUUCUUAGUGAGUUGAUUUGUAGAGAUUUUUGUUCCCCCAUUUUUCUAAUCUGAAAGUUGUCUUGUACUAAAUGUUAAUAGCAUAGGCAUUUUGUUUUCCGGCAGUUACAGUUAAUUUUUUUGUGAAGAAGAAUCUAAGGCUGUCCCAUUGACGCUUUUUAUCGUAGUGGUUGGAAUGGACUACUGUCCGAUUUCUUUUACA